rnacentral:rRNA from 1 species
GACGAACGCUGGCGGCGUGCUUAACACAUGCAAGUCGAACGGCAAGGCCCUGCUUUCGUGGGGUGCUCGAGUGGCGAACGGGUGAGUAACACGUGAGUAACCUGCUCUUGAUUUUGGGAUAACUUCAGGAAACUGGGGCUACUACCGGAUCGGAGCUCCUGCUGCAUGGUGGGGGUUGGAACGUUUCGGCGGUUGGGGAUGGACUCGCGGCUUAUCAGCUUGUUGGUGGGGUAGUGGCUUACCAAGGCUUUGACGGGUAGCCGGCCUGAGAGGGUGACCGGCCACAUUGGGACUGAGAUACGGCCCAGACUCCUACGGGAGGCAGCAGUGGGGAAUAUUGCACAAUGGGCGGAAGCCUGAUGCAGCAACGCCGCGUGCGGGAUGACGGCCUUCGGGUUGUAAACCGCUUUCGCCUGUGACGAAGCGUGAGUGACGGUAAUGGGUAAAGAAGCACCGGCUAACUACGUG